rnacentral:rRNA from 1 species
GAUGAACGCUGGCGGCGUGCCUAAUACGUGCAAGUCGAGCGAAUGGAUUAAGAGCUUGCUCUUAUGAAGUUAGCGGCGGACGGGUGAGUAACACGUGGGUAACCUGCCCAUAAGACUGGGAUAACUCCGGGAAACCGGGGCUAAUACCGGAUAACAUUUUGAACCGCAUGGUUCGAAAUUGAAAGGCGGCUUCGGCUGUCACUUAUGGAUGGACCCGCGUCGCAUUAGCUAGUUGGUGAGGUAACGGCUCACCAAGGCAACGAUGCGUAGCCGACCUGAGAGGGUGAUCGGUCACACUGGGACUGAGACACGGCCCAGACUCCUACGGGAGGCAGCAGUAGGGAAUCUUCCGCAAUGGACGAAAGUCUGACGGAGCAACGCCGCGUGAGUGAUGAAGGCUUUCGGGUCGUAAAACUCUGUUGUUAGGGAAGAACAAGUGCUAGUUGAAUAAGCUGACACCUUGACGGUACCUAACCAGAAAGCCACGGCUAACUACGUGCCAGCAGCCGCGGUAA